rnacentral:tRNA from 1 species
GCGCCCUUAGCUCAGCCUGGCUAGAGCAAGCGACUCUUAAUCGCUGGGUCCAAGGUUCGAAUCCUUGAGGGCGCACCA